CAACCAGGAAACACACAUGCACAAGAAGGACCGUCUCUGCACCUGAGAAAGCCAGACAUCCUGUUACCAUGGCUACUGAAGAACCACAGAACAAAACACAGGGAGACCCCACGAUCGAAGCAGGCGACAUUCAUUACGCUUCUCUGGGCCGUCAGAACUAGAGAGAGAGGCCGCACACUCAGGGCGAGAGACACCAUGUGAUCUACUCCACUGUGGCUGGAGGGCCAGUUUAGGUCAUGGUCAGAGGAGGACAGCACUACGUCCUCACAAAACAAUAACAAUGUCCUCACAAAACAAUAACAACGUCCUCACAAAACAGUAACAAUGUCCUCACAAAACAAUAACAACGUCCUCACAAAACGAUAACAAUGUCCUCACAAAACAAUAACAAUGUCCUCACAAAACGAUAACAAUGUCCUCACAAAACAAUAACAAUGUCCUCACAAAACAAUAAAAAUGUCUUCACAAAACAAUAACAACUUCCUUAUCACACUGGAAUAAACUAUUCCUCAGACUGCACUGGUCAUGUAAUGGAGUAUUUAAAAGUAUUUUACUUUUUAGAUAGCACAACGCCCUCACAAAACAAGACAAACACUGAAAUAAACCAUUCCUAAGACUGCACAGUUCAUGUAACUGAGUAUUUAAAAGUAAUUCAGUUUAGAUGAUGGUUGACUUGUAUGACACUCCUGUGGCUUUUUGAGAAUUUUCAGUGAAGCAUGCUACUGGCCAAGAAGUGUUUCAAAACAAGCAUUUGCUUUAAGACUGCUUCAUUCUCAUAAUCUUAGCUAAGUAUUCAUUUGAAGAUGUACUAAUCACAGAGGUGAAGCUGUGCUCAGUAUAGGAUGAAUAAAAUCAAACGGUUUGAAAUGUAAUACGGACAUAAAAAACAGUGUUGGACCUACAUACCUGUAAUGACAUUGGUUUGUAGCCAGAGGAACA